UACGUAGGGUGCGAGCGUUAAUCGGAAUUACUGGGCGUAGAGUGUGCGCAGGCGGCAGAGCAAGUCGAGUGUGAAAGCCCCGGGCUUAACUUGGGAAUUGCGCUCGAAACUACUUUGCUGGAGUGUGGCAGAGGAAGGUGGAAUUCCACGUGUAGCGGUGAAAUGCGUAGAGAUGUGGAGGAACACCAAUGGCGAAGGCAGCCAUUCUGGGCCGAA
rnacentral:rRNA from 1 species